rnacentral:rRNA from 1 species
CCACCGGCAGCCCAAGUGGUGGCCAUUUUUAUUGGGCCUAAAGCGUUCGUAGCCGGCCUGAUAAGUCUCUGGUGAAAUCCCGCAGCUUAACUGUGGGAAUUGCUGGAGAUACUAUCAUGACUCGAGGUCGGGAGAGGCUGGAGGUACUCCCAGGGUAGGGGGGAAAUCCUGUAAUCCUGGGAGGACCACCUGUGGCGAAGGCGUCCAGCUGGAACGAACCUGACGGUGAGGGACGAAAGCCAGGGGCGCGAACCGGAUUAGAUACCCGGGUAGUCCUGGCCGUAAACGAUGUGGACUUGGUGUUGGGAUGGCUUCGAGCUGCCCCAGUGCCGAAGGGAAGCUGUUAAGUCCACCGCCUGGGAAGUACGGCCGCAAGGCUGAAACUUAAAUGAAUUGGCGGGG